UUUUUUGCGUUUGUCUCACCAGGUUGUUUGCAUCGUAGAUGGUGAUCUCUCCGAUGGUGGCGCUGCCAGGGUACGCCAGGUAUGAGUUACCGUGGUUGACGGAGAGAGCGCAGAGACCUACGACGGGAGAAAGCAGGACACUUUAGAUCAUUGGUCAGCAUGUCUGUGUCGUCGUGCCUCUCACCUGUCUGUUGAGCCUGACGGAGAGGAUGUUGUUGGAGUAGCUGUAGUUACAGAUCUCCGUGCCCUUCUUGAAGUGGUAGACGUUCAUUCGCCGCGGCAUGGACAGACUGACCACCACCACCAGGCUGCUGGAGAACAGCCGCUCCACGAUGUACACGUCUGGACAUUCAACUGCAAGACGAGACAAGAGGUUUCCCACACCUUUGUUGACUUAAAAUUCAAGGACUUUCCAGGAUCAAUUCCCUCAAAUUCAAGGACAGAAUGUUCCGACACGGCUUAAGAUGGGAGGGCGGCUUGUAAGAGCGUCUUCGCUCAUGGCGUCCACUUUUAUUGAUUUGCAGCACGCUCUGCAUCUGGACAAGUGAAUGUCCUUGGGAUCUUGGUCAAAGCCAGUCUUUGUACAGACAGAGAUCUUGACAUUUUAAUUUCCCAGGCAUCACGUCGUCAUUUGCUCUCUCUUUGCUAAACGUUACUCGCUUGUUGUUUUGAGUUUAAUCUCACGUCAAUCUUACUGUCUCUCUCACGUCACGGAGGGAGUGCUAUUAAUUAUGACUCGAUGUUUGUUCUGCGUAGGCCUGCGAAGUCUACGUAUAUCAAGCAUUGAAGGGCAACAGUAGGUGGCGUCGCAACAAACAAGGGAGACGUUUAUCUUAAUAUCAACUGAACUUCUUUCUUUCACAUUUCAAUGACCCAUGUCUAUUUAGGGCAAUUUUCAAAAGUUUUCAGAGGCCUUGAAGUGUUUUCCCAAAUUCACAAACUUUCAAGGAUUUCAAGAACCUGUGGGAACGCCGUGUAUUGAAUUUCACCUUUUUAUCUUGCCGAUAUCCAAUCCGGUGAUUUUUAAACCGAUAUUGAUAUUAACUGUAUUAUCGACUCAUUUCUACCAGGAACCAUCCAGCACGACCACCGUCAGUUACAGGAGCUUUGCUGAUGGGACAUGUACUCUCAGACUAACGUAGAAACAAGAAUAACGUCUAUUUAUUUCCUACCUCCUUCAUGGAUACAGUCCAGUUUGUCCACAGCGGUGACUGAGAAGAGUCGGUAGCCAGUCUUGGUGCCAACAGACAGAGAACUACGAUAGAAACACAGCACACACCAUCUAACCAACCACAUUCACAUACACCUUUAAGGUGUACAAUAACAUACUAACACAGCACAGUGCUAGCUGGUUGUCUCUGCACCAGGGUGCAGUUUUACAUUGGAUAAGCAGAGAUAAGAGACAUGAGACGAAGCAGUUACCUGCGUUCACUUCCUGACUGGUGAUGCCUCGACUUCUGGCUGAAAACAAAAGGCUUUAGUCUCAGCUUUCUCUCAUUGUUUACUCUCCCUUUUCAUUGUUUUUGUUUCUUGUUGAAAGUAUGUUACUGAAACUAAAACAUGCAGAGGAGAAGGUCAUCUGUUUACACCAGCACAUGUAAAUCAAUGUAGCGUAAAGUUUGUGUGUGAGAGACUUUUAGUAUGUGUGAGAUGGGAAAUUUAUGAGCUGUUCAUUUCUAUUUUGAGGUGGCAUGAAAGUCCCAGGGGGCCCCAUUAGCCUGGGCCCUCAAACUCCUUUAAAACGUCACUGCAUGAGGCCUAAAUGUGUUAAAUCCACAGUUUAAAGCUGUGUCAGUUUUUACACAGCAGCUGGUUUGGUCACUAACUGUGUAUGUGAAAGUGCAACAGGCCUAAAAAGAUUAUCACAGUGGCCUAAUUCACUCUCAGCUGAUCUGGAAGUUUUACACGAGGCAUUUAAACGCUUGUAGUUUAGGUUUGGACGCACAAAACAACGAAUUACACUGUGUUUAAAUGCGGUUUUGACAAUAAUAAUACAUCAACAGUCAAAGGACACUGAGUUCAAGGAGGGCCGGAACCGCAGGUCGCUUACGUGGUGU